rnacentral:rRNA from 1 species
CCAGCAGCCGAUAUAAUACGGGGGGGGCCAAGUUUUAUCGGAUUUACUUGGGUAUAAAGGGUGCGUAGGCGGGAUAAUAAGUCAGGGGUGAAAUCCUGCAGCUCAUCUGUAGAACUGCCAUUGAUACUGUUAUUCUUGAGUGCGAUUGAGGUAGGCGGAAUGUGUAAUGUAGCGGUGAAAUGCUUAGAUAUUACACAGAACACCGAUUGCGUAGGCAGCUUAUUAAGUUGUAACUGACGUUGAGGCACGAAAGCGUGGGGAUCGAACAGGAUUAGAUACCCUGGUAGUCCACGCUGUAAACGAUGAUCACUAGCUGUUGGCGAUACUCCGAUCAGCGGCAAGGCGAAAGCAUUAAGUGAUCCACCUGGGGAGUACGAUCGCAAGAUUGAAACUCAAAGGAAUUGACGGGGGCCCGCACAAGCGGAGGAACAUGUGGUUUAAUUCGAUGAUACGCGAGGAGCCUUACCUGGGCUUAAAUGCAGGACGACGAUACGGGAAACCGAAUCUCCCUUCGGGGCGGACUGCAAGGUGCUGCAUGGUUGUCGUCAGCUCGUGCCGUGAGGUGUCGGGUUAAGUCCCAUAACGAGCGCAACCCCUAUCGUUAGUUGCCAGCGGAUCAUGCCGGGGACUCUAACGAAACUGCCGGUGUAAACCGAGAGGAAGGUGGGGAUGACGUCAAAUCAGCACGGCCCUUAUGUCCAGGGCUACACACGUGUUACAAUGGUCGGUACAGAGGGCAGCUACCUGGUAACAGGAUGCUAAUCUCGAAAGCCGGUCUUAGUUCGGAUCGAAGUCUGCAAUUCGACUUCGUGAAGCUGGAUUCGCUAGUAAUCGCGCAUCAGCCAUGGCGCGGGAAUACUUCCC